CUGGCUCCAGGCUCUGAGCUGUUAGUACAAAGCCCAACGUGGGGCUCAAACCCAUGAGCCGUGAGAUGAUGACCUGAGCCGAAGUCGGAUGCUUAGCCAACUGAACUGUCCAGGUGCCCCCUUACUGCUGAAUCUUUUAGAGUGGAACUCAAGAGUCGCCCGUUUUGUAGAAGUGGUAACUGAAUCUCAUGAAUGUGACAGCCAGAAGUUUACCCUGAGAGUAAAUGGGUACUAAGUGGAAUUGUAGUUGAUCUUAGUGCUAGUUGUGCUUAUAACGAUCUAUUUUCUUUCUACAAGGUACUCAAAUACUAAAGCUAAAAUGAUACUGGCUGCACGGAAGGGUACAUUUGAGGCACUUUGGCCAUCUCUCUGAAACGACUAGAAAAAAUGAGGACAGAUGCAGUGCUGACUAAUCUGCCUAUUUUCGGAUGUGAUGCUGAGUUACAGAAAUGCAAAAGGGAGAGAAGGAGAAUCCCAAGCAGGCUUCAAGCUGUCAGCAUAGAGACUGACGUGGGGCUCGAUCUGGGGAACCAUGAGAUCAUGACCUGAGCCAAAAUCAAGAGUCGGACGCUUAAUCAACUGAGCCACCCAGGUGCCCCAAGUUAUUUCCUUUUUGAUUUCAAGUGUUCUCAUGACUGCCAGAAGAAUGUGGCCAGGUGGCACUAGUUUAUCUUGUACAUGCAGUGCAGUUGACUCUGAGCAGACCUCAAGCUUAGCUGGAAUUUAACAGCAUUGUUUUGUUUUCAUUGCGGUCAUUUUUUUAAUGAUUACUUUCUAUUUAUUACAAACAGUAUUGAUUUUCCUUAAUGGUAGUGCCUAAAGUUUCCCUUCAAAUAUUUGUUUUUGGGGCUACAGCAAACCAAUUUAAAGAAAACAUGAAGUUAUUGAUGGAAGAAGAGGUAUACAGAUCAGGCAAAAUCUUGAUGGUGGAAGGUUUGUGUCUAAAGUUUAGGAGAGUGCUUCAGGGGCAUUUACUUGAACUCAUCAAACCUCCCUAACCCAGAUGUUUCUGCGGCACCACAUGUGGGUGUCCUGUCUACACUACCUGGCUGCCCGAUUGACACAGAUGGCCUAGGAAAUAAUCCUUCCUCCUCAGAUUACUGAUGUAGAGAAGGAAGGGACACCCACUGGUGGCUCCCUUAGCCUGAGGUCAGAUGCCUUGGCCCCCUUCCCAGCUCCCCCGGCCCAGCUGGUAGUUGGAAAUGCUCACUACAUCCUGGUUAGUAGCAAGGGUGGAACUCUCCACAAGAUCACACACUUAUGUCCAAUGCUGUGCCGGUGAAAAGUUAACAGGUGCUCUCGGGGAAGGAUUGGUUUGUGACACUUGCCGAUUUCAGCGGUCUAAGUUCUCCCACCUUAGCUGAUUUCAGUCACGGCUGUGUUUAACAACCGGCUGACAAAAUUCCUGAAUAUCUAACAGGUGUCCUGGGGCGGAAGCCCCAGCAGGCUUCGGCACACCACUGUAAGUUGCAGUGUCAGCAUUUGAUGUUGUAACUGGGUUAUUCCUCCUUGUCAGCCUUUUCCUCUAAAGGUGAAGCUCCAUGCGAGAAGAAACCACAUCUGUCUCGCUCACCAUGGUAACUCCCGUGCCCAGCGCAGUCCUGACACUUAGCAGCUGCCCCACGAAUACAUUGGCUGAUACUUACUGGCAGGCGAUCUGAGGUUAAAAGGCAUUCCCACAAAGGCCCCAGUCCCUUAAAUCUUGCAGCUUUCUCAAGCCUAGUGAAGUUUGAGGGCGUUUUGUUUUGUUUGUGUUCUUUCUCCUUGAGCAGCAGACCAGCUUGGCUCCACAAUGUCAAAGAGCAGAUAUGUCUUCCUGGGAGCCUGAGAAGAGCUGGAGCUGGAAGGAAGCAGAGCCGGGCUGACCACGUCAGGUCCCCUGCUUCAAGGGCCCCUGCCUCCUGCAAGGUGCACCGCUGCGGCCCUCUGUAUUCAGAUUAAAGGGGACCACGCAAACCAUCUCUCCUGAACAUCUAGUCUUGUGCUGUGAUGUCCAUGUCCUGACAAAUCGUGGUUCCUGCCUACUGAGUUUCCUGAUACAGCAGUGUUAUGCUCUUCUGAAGAUGGGGAUUUUCAUCCAAACCCUCUUUUAGGACUGCCUUCACACCUUCACACCUGAAUGUAUUCUUCGUUCUUCUGGAAUGUUCAUAGGGCUGCUCUGGCUCUCGCCACUUGCGACUGGAUUUUGGUGCGACUUCUAGAAUCUGAGGUCCGACAUAGAAUAUUUUCACGCCAGUGGAACUACUGUGAACAUCUCAGCCAAAAUGUAUUCCCCAUCAUUGACUGCUCCUGAGCUGUCAUUGAUCAGUACUGAAGGUAUAAUCUACAGGUACACAGCUCUGGCAGUCUUUCAAAUGGAUACGGUGGAAAUUUACAAACAGGAUUUGUUUGGCUAAUGAGAUCCAGAAGUACCUGGGAGUGCCAGCUUGUAUCAGUCUGACAAUUCAUUCAUUUCUGAGGAAAUUCCAUGCAUAAUCCAUACGAUAUGAAACUCCUGUGUUUCGUGAUCCCUUUUACUUCAGGUAAAUAAGUUCUCUUAAACACAUUGCAAUAGCAUUUAUUGUGGUAGGUACUUUGCAUGCAUAGUUUCCAAUCCUACCCACACCAUAGGGAUAUAUGCUCUUAUCACCACUUUACAGAUGUGGAAACAUAUCCAGAGUCACUCAGCCAAUAGCAGUUAGGGUCAGUAUUAAGGCUCCAGUUGUCUUAUUCCAAAGCACAGACUUCACCCAGGCUAACCAUAGUAAAAAACCAUAAUCAACAACAACAACAAAAAGAUUGAAGCAGUAGAAAAGGCAGAAAAGUGGUAUUUUAAUGUCUCUUCCACCAGUUAGGGGCAAAUUAUUCAACUUUUGUAGGGCAAAGAGUCAACAGAAUAGGAACACUAAACUUUUCUGAGGCAGAUUGAACUAGUUUUCUUGCAAUAUCAUUCAGGCCUGUGAUAUUUAUUGUUUUCACUGAUUUUUAUUAUUUAUGUGUGUGUAUUCAUUGGCCUCUGUCAUGUGCAAGGGCCUGUACCAGGAGCUACAAAGCAUGGGGGGAGAAAAGGUGAUUUUUGGAUCUCUUGAGACUAAUGACGUUAGUGAACCUUGGACCCCAGUAGAAAAGAGAGUCAUGGUCAACACGGCAGGCAGAAGUGCCAGAGGAGAAAUGCAGUGUCACCAGGUCAGAGGAGGCAGGAGCAUCAUCAGUUGGGAUGUUAGGGAAGACCUCAAGGUGCAGGUGCCUUUUAAAAUGAACUUGAAAAGAGUUGGAGGGAGGACAUUCUCGGCAGAAGACAGCAUCUUACGAGGCAAGGAGGUGGGAAGCCAUGAUGUGGUUGGAUGAAAUAGUGCUCUUCUGGUUUGAAGGAAGUGCAGAAUACUGGAAGAUAAGGCUAAACUAGAUUGAAAAGCCAGGUUAGGAAGAUCAGUUUGCUUAUGAAAGAAAAGUUUUUUAAAGAAAGCUUUACAGCAUGAGUGUGAAGGCCUAGAGCUAGAUUUUAGAAAGAUUAAGCAAUGCAGUAUGUCAGUCCCAAGUCUAGGACCCUGAGAGAAUGCUGGUACCAUGGACAGGAAAUAGGAUACCAGGAGGAAGUGACUGGUUUACCCUCCUCCAUUUGUAUUUAAUGUAUUUAAUUUGAAGAACUAUGGAAAUGCAGAACUGGACUUUGGGAGAAGGAGCAGGAGAGAUUAUAUCAGUCAGUCCAUUACAAACAUAAGUGAAGGUGUGAUAUAGCAAGAUUGCCAAGAGGUGAGUCUGUAAGAGAAGAGGGCCAAAGACAGACCUCAGGGGUGUAAACAUCUAGCUAGCAGGUAGUACAGAAAAGUCAGUGGGAAGCAGAGGAGGAGAAGUAAGCAAAAUAGUGGAAAAAGCAGAAUUCAGUGUUUGGGCAUAAAAGGAGAGAAUUUCAGAAAGCUAAAUGAUUUAUUCAAUUGUAAACUCCCUGAGAGCGGGCUAGAUUACCUACUUAUUUCAAUAUUUCCCCAGAAUAGAUGUAGUAGAGUAUUGCACACAUGCUUGGUGUCCAGUAAAUGUUAAAGGUCUGUAAUAUGCAAUGCUAUUCAAUGUUUGAGGAGACCAUUCGUUUUCAUGAUUAGGACAUCCUGGUUAUUGUUCUUGUGUGCUUCCAGCCUUUCUGUUUUAAGGAAAAUAAAGGACAAAGACCAUGUCUGAAUCAAAGAUUAAGGAACAUACAUUGUCUCUAGGCACGUGUUCUGCUGGACCACAUAUGCAAAAAUGUCUGGUUUCCUCUUAUUUGUGACUCAGCACUCUGCGUGUUCACGUGAAUGUAUGGUUGCGAAUGUGUGUGAUAGCAGGAGGUGGAGGCCACCAAGAUGUCCAUCUGUGGAGAAGAGAUGAGCCCAUGCAACGGAGGGAGACUGAAACCUGGGAGGAGUGAAAACUGUGAGUUCCUUUUGAAGAGUUUAUUCUGAGUAUGCUGAAUUUGAGGUACCUUUGAGCCAUACCAGUGAAGAUGUCAGGUAGACAGUUGGACAGAAAAGCCUGGAACUCAAAGAGAGCUCCCGGAAGAAUGAAUUGCCAAGCCUUCUGUGUUUCAGGAGUGAGUAGUUGCAAACACGGGUAUGAACAACAUUAUACAGGGAGCUAGUGUAGUUAGAAUAAGGCCUAGGCCAAUACCCAAAUCAAUUUUAUCAUUUUAUGACCACAGCAUGGAAAAUUAACAUGCAAAGAACUCAGAAUGUUCAUAGAACUAGGAGGAAGCCCAGGCAUGAUCAGGAUUAGCAUCCAGUACUUCUGACUCUCAAUACAGUCCCUUUAUCAUUAUAAUGCAGUGGCCUUGUUUAGUCUUUGAUAUCUAGUGUAUUUUCUAUAACGCACACUCUCCAUGCGCAUGUGUGUGCAUAUAUGUACCUGAAUGUACAUAUGUGCUCUAUAUUUUCACAUAGACACACACAUAUAUUUGCACAUGCAUAUAAAUGAUAGGUGACUGGGAAAAACAAGAAAGGUACACCUGCACUUUAAAAAAGAUACUUACAAGGUACAGUCAGUCCACCCACCCACCCAUGUGCUCUCACAGGGAUGUGGUACAUGUUUAACACUGAUGCUGUGAAUGAGCCACUAGGAAGAAGGAGCACAGGUCUCCCUCCCACUGCCCAUCGCUUUUCACACUGUUGGGUAAUCAUGCACUUUGUUGUUUUUUUUUUUAAGUCACAAUUCCUUCUUUUCCACAGGCACAGUGACUCAAAGUCUAUAGAAGAGUACCCUUAAGGAUAACACAAUGAGUGAAUGUCAAGCAGCAGCACAUUCUCCACGCUGGUAUUUUUCACAUGUACUUACUAAUAACCCUGUACAUCUGGGUCUGUUGGGAUACACGAUGAUGGAUUUCUGAUCUACUUUGCGUAGGAACCACAGUGGCAGCUUCUUCUCUAAGCUGGAAUUACUAGUUAUGAAGUAAUGACAUGUCUGUGAAGAGGCCUUUUUGCAUCUCUUUUCCUCUCUUCAUCCACCUACCUGGAGUCCUACACUCCAUCUUUGUUGUGGUAAUAACUGGUUAGCUCUUCCUUCCUCCAAGCUUUCCCCCGCUAAGGUGAUAAUAGAUCAUCUUACGUACCACUCCCAUUUUGUUCCCAUUCUUUGGAAGAGCUGGUAAUGACUUCCCACUAACAAAAUAACUCGGAGCACUUCACCCUUUACUGCCCUAUCUUUCAAAGCUAAGGUUUUCCUCGUUUGUUAGCUCUUUUUUUUAAUAAAGCACUCUAUCAUCUUGGGCCACCUUAAUACUCUCUAAGGAGCCAUCCCUCCAGGCCAGGGGCCCUUCACCCUUCCUUAGCCAUUUCUCCUUGUUCCGCCUUUAGCCCAUUGCUCCUGCUGGGUCCUGCCUUUCUGGACCAGUCUUGCUGUUCCUCUAAAUCCCAUCUUUCAACAUCUGGUUCACGUGCCAACUCUUCCAUGUAGCAUUUCCAUAACUGUUUAUUUUCUGUACCUAAUAUUUUAACCAUUUAAUUUAUGUACUUUUUUUUCUUUAAAUGUGCCAAGUCCUCUGCAUAAUACGCAGCUUAGUCACAGAGCAUAGAGUUUAAGCAUGGUUCUAAGUUGAUUUUGAGAUUUUAAACUCUGUUUAAUUGGUGUGCUCUCCAGUUAGACUUAUGUUACUUAGUGAAGUCAAAGGUCACACAGGCCUUUAACGCCUCUGGGUUCUCAUGGUCAGUUGUACUCUGCACAUACCACGUACUGGGGCAUUUUUUAGAAAUAAAUAUGUGCUGACGUAUAGCAGAAUGAGUAACAGAGAAGAAUGAAGUGUGACGAACAGUGAAGAGUGAGGGGAGAGUUACCUCUUAACAUGAAUUUGUCUUUCUCUUGAACUUGCCUAAGUUUUUUAAUGUGUACGUUCAACUGGUCAUCAGGUAUUUUUGAAGCAUCAGAUAUUCCCGUUCAAAUUUGAUAAACACAAUGCAAAUAAGAGCAUAGAAAUAGUUUUCCAUUGUGUAACAGGAACCACCUCACAAGAUUCAGUAGCCAAGGAAAAACGUAAGGGAGGUCACAAAAGAACAAAACCUCAUGGAUGCAGUGAACACUUCAAUAUAACAUGUUAUGUGGGAAGCUUGCAGUGCGAUGGCCAGAGUAUCAAGGGGUCCUAGGAAGAGCUGGGCUGUGACAGGACAGAAUACCUCACACCUGCGAUAAUUCUUAUUUAGCAGAUAGCUACCUGGUUGGCUGCAUGUUGACAUUUUAUUUAUUUAUUUAUUUUUAUUUUAUUUUAUUUUUUUUUAAUUUUUUUUUUAAACGUUUAUUUUAUUUU